GGGCAGUGGGUUCCCCUCCGGGUUUAGACACUCCCCUUAGACAGGAUUUUUCUUUUCCCUGGAUGACUCAACAGACAGGCCCUGCUCCUCUUCCCCACCUGCCGUCUUAGUCCCACAUCUGGGCUCUGUUGGCUGGUUAACCAUCGAUCUUGCCUGGUAAAUAAUUCAGGGCCUCUGUUUCCUCAUCUGUGAAAUGAAAAGCCUAAGAGAACGCUAAGAUUCUUUUGGCCUAGAAUCCUGUGAGUCUCUCUUAUGACAGACAGUGACAUUUUCCACCCCAGUAGGGACCUGGAUUGCUACUGCCAUGGCCAGCUGGGUGCUCUCCAAGUCAGGGGUGCUGUGCGAGGAGGGCGUGGCUUCUGCUCCUCUGUGUCCCAGCCACUCCUCCUGUACUCAGGCCCCAGCUCCUCUGUUCUGCCCAGUGGCCUGGCGCAGGAAAGGUGACCCAGUAGUUCAGCCUGUCCCAGCUGCCUGCCCCAGCACCAUCCCAGACCCCUUUCCCUGGGGCCCACCUUGGCCCUGAGGAAGGCCAGAGCUCGGCUGCUGUUCUCCAGGAAGUGCACACGCAGGCGGCCCCGGCUCGGGGGUGGCAGGGCCUCCCCUGAGAUGAGCUCCAGCAGCCGCAGGAGGUGGAUGCCGUCAGCCAGCUCUGUGUACAGGUUCCGGAUCUUGAUGCCCGCCUGGGGAGGGGACAGGGGUAAGUAUGGGGUCAGCCCAGCCUCACCUGUCCUCCCAUCCUGGGACCUGAGAGGUACGACCCAGAGCAGCUGCUUUGGAAGAAGGAGCUCUGGCCUCAGCUUGGCCUCAGGCAGAUGACCCCACAGCUCACCCCGGAGGCCCACUGGCCAGAGCUGGGGGCCUGGUAUGGGUGGGCUGUGGGUCACAGCUGGCUAUACUCACCUGGCCGCACUGGAAGACGUUAUUGAUCCACUUGGUGAAAGUCUUCUCCUGCAUCUGCAUGUGCCGGGCCUGUAGCUUGCGAAUGUGGCCCGUCUCGUACUGAGAGUCCAUGGUGAGACUUGGACUGGGCGGGACCCGGAGUUCUGUGCUGGGCCUCCUGCUGCGGUGCCCUGCAGCCCCGAGGAGCUCCCGGGGACUGUGGGGCUGACCAGCCAUCAGCCCUGCAGACUUUGGGGAUGAGGAGCUGCUGGAUGGCUCCCUAAACCUGGAGGGCAUGCAGAUUAGGGGAUGAUGUGAAUGGAGAUGGCCCCUCUACCAGGGGCCUGGGGUCCCGCCUUGCCAGACUGUCCUCACAUUUCAUGGGGGUUGCAGCUUGGAGCCCAGCCAGGUAAGGGCCAGUGCUUCUGGUCCCCUGUGCUUGAAUGGCCCAGGGCCCCCUUUGCCCCACCCCACCUUCCAGAUUCUUCUUCUCAGAGCCCCUGCUGCCAGGUCCCUCCACCACAGUGACUGGGACAGGUGGAAGGAAGACAGGAAACUGCUUACCUUGGUGAUGCCUGGGUCCCACAGAGACGGCUCUGCUGGACGGAUGGAGAUGGUAGAUAGCAGGGGCUGCUUACCUUGGUGAUGCCUGGGUUCCACAGAGGCGGCCCAGCUGGACGGAUGGAGAUGGCAGAUAGCAGGGGCUGUGGAGGGAGGGAGAGGGACAUCAGGAGAGGCCAAGGCUGGAGCAGGGCUGCACCACAGCCCUCCCCUUGAGCCAGCGUGCUGGGGUGACGGCACACAGGCGGCAUUGUCCUCCCACCUGCCACAGGGCGUGGCCCAGACAGGGAGGGGGUGGUUCAGGAAUGCUCCAGGGCCAUUGCCAGAUGAUGUCCUCCUUCAUCAUCCUCCCUUCCCCGCCAGCAACUUCUCCAACUCCAGGUGGGGGUCCUGGCUCCCAGGACGCAGAGGCCCAUGGAGCGGCCCUGCCACCGCAUGGGGUGCUGCAGUCUGCGUAGGAGGUACCAAAGGGCAGAGCCUCUGUGGGAAGCCUGUGGACGCACUUCCCAAUCUGAGACUGCCCUCUGUACCCUCUUGGGGCCUCUCUGUGAGCACCCAGGGCGAGGGGAUGAGGGAGCGUCCUGGGCCGUGGUCUUCUCAUUCACCCCCAGGGAACAGCCCAUAGACUGAGGGCCUCACAGACCCUGGGCUUGGCUUUCCAGGCCCUGCCAGAGUGCAGCCUGCCUAGCCCGGGGCUGAAGGGUAGGCUCCCUGGAGGAAGGGGUGACCUGGAACUGCGAGGGCUGUGGAGUCUCCUCCAAAAUUAGAGACACGGUGUUAACUCUGGGCUCCACAGAGCUGGCCGUGGCCCGGGGCUCGGAGGCAGGGGUGCAGAGGGAGCUGGUGGGCGCCCAUCCCUUCCUCCCCGAGCAGCCGUGGACUACAUGCCAGAGUGAAGGCGAGUUCUAAUUCUGGGGGUCUCACCCGCCUCUGGCUAAACUCAGGGUAGCAGUGUGGGCUGGGGUGUGUGUGUGUGGGUGUCUUCCAGCGGCCCUGGAGCCUCUGAAGCGACAGCCCGCUCCUCAGGGAGGCGCUCCUGGCAGCCACAGCCCACAGCAGGACAGCCGCUCAGCGCGCCCUUGAGAGCUGGGCUAGGGAUGAGUCACACUUGAACCGCCUGGGCCCACUGCAGGCAGUCAGGGGUGACGCUGAGAGGUGCCGUGGUCUCGGGUGGGGUGCGGCUUCCUGCGUCUGAGAGACGCUUCCUCUCCUGCUGUCCUCUCCCUGCCAGGCCCCUUCUGCAGCGGCUGGCUUCCAGACACCCUGCGUCCCUCCCUUGCUCGCAGCAGUUGCUGUGGCGGUCCUCCCGUGCACCCCCCCUUCUGCCCUCACUGCCCCUGGGGGUCCUCAUCACGGACCCCCUAACUCGGCAUCCUGGACACCACCACCCCGCACCUUUCCACAGUGCAGCUCUGCUCGUGCCUGUGAAGCCUCCCACAGCCUGGGAAGGAAAAUCCAGACUUGCCAGACCUUGCCUCAGCCAGGCCUUGGAAGCCUGCCAGCUUACCUAACCAGUAAGACCCUCAGCCCAUGGAGUCCUGUGUGAUGUUGUGAGCGUGGGAGGACAGACUGAACUGCUCGGCCCGUGGAGUCCUGUGUGAUGUUGUGAGCGGGGAGGACAGACUGAACUGCGUGGUGCUUCGCACAUAGACCUCAACAGGGAUUGGCAUUUUGAAGCUGUUGGCGGGGGCUGUGGACUGCUUUUCUUCCUUUCUAGCUCAACGGCAGCUAAAGCCACUGCAUACAAUGCAAGGACUGGCUCCUGUUUGGCCACGACUGAUUGCAGCCCCUGGUGAAAUGAGAACCCUGUGGGUCGGAACAAAGUUUGGAUUAUUUAUGUUGCAAGUAACUAAAAUCUCAAGUGAAACUGGUUUAAACAUUAUAUUUUUAUUAUUUAUUUAUUUAUAUUUAAUUCUUUUUUAGAGACAGGGUCUUCUUAGGUUGCCCAGGCUGGUCUUGAACUCCUGGCCUCAACGAUCUUCCCACUUCAGCCUCCUGCAUUGCUGGGAUUAUAGGUGUGAGCCACCAUGCCUGGCUUACACAGUAUAAAGGGAAUGCAUUGGCCCACACAGUGGAAAAAAAUAUCUAGUAGGAAUAGGAAGGACUUCAGGUGAGGUUUGAUCCAGCAGCUCAAAUGUUGUCACCACAGGCCUGGAUUCCUCUGGCCUUUCUCAAGGUCUCUUUCAUUUUCAUGCUCCACAAGAUGGCUUCUGCCAGGCUGACCUCCCUCCCCUGACCCCAGCAGCUCUGGACACCCCUCUCAGUGCCAUUUAUAUUGUUGCAUCAAUAGGCUCAUUUCUAUAUACUGCAAGGUUCAGAGAAGACAGAGUAUCUCUCUCAAGAGUUCUAACAUAAGUCUGGGGGUCCUGGCUCUCAUAGGCUUGAACAGGGCCACAUGUCCAUUCCUGAGCCAAUAUUUGUGACCAAGGGGAUGUGGUCAAUCUCAUCCAAACCUCACUUGAAGUGAGGGUGGGAGGAGGAGUGCUCUGCAAGGAGACUGUAGGUCUGGACCACCAAAAAGGUAGAUGGGUUGGUGGGAAAAGCCAGAUGCCUACUAUGGUAGUGGGCGGGGGGAGGGCACACUGGCAAGGUACAGCAAGAGGCAGGGGCAGUGCUGGACAGGCAGGGGCUCCUCCCUAGCACGACUGGAGAAAGGACUCCUGUGAAGCGGUCACCUCCAUGAGUCCCUCCUGUCCUGGCUUCCAACCACUCUGAAGUGGGGCUUUUGUCCACAGACCUGGCCUCUGCUGCCUACCCUCUUCUGUCCCCACCUGAUGGGGCCGCUUUCCUUCUGAAGCGGCUGCAUUUUGGGUUUCUCUCCACAGGAAGAGUUGGGGCUCACAGGCACACCCUCUCCCUAACUCUUCUCCCCCGGUUCAACCUGGAUCCAGGGAUCCACACUCUGCUCCGAGAGGCCAGCACGCAGCCACUGGAAAAUGAGCCAGUGGGAGAGGGCAGCUCCAUGUUUAUUGAUCAGCAGACUAUGUCUUUUUGUUUGAAACUUCUAAAUAAGAUUACAAAAAGAAAAAAAAUAGAAGCAUUGCGUAUUAACUGCAUUGGUUAACCAACAUUGGAACCCAAUACUCUUGUAUUAGGCCCGCAUUUACCUGAGUAAACUCAGUGGUUUUCUGUCCUAAGCAUGCUUGCCUGCUACAUCCCAUGGAGAAAAUAAACAGUGAAACACUUUCCUCAUCUUCAAGGCAAUUGUCUCAGGCAUCCUCCAGGCAUCAUGAAGGAGGGUGAGCGAGGGUGCGAGGUGGAAAGGUCCAGGCCGCGGCUGUGACUCCCGCGGGUGAACCACAGCUCCACAGCCCCAAAUCCAAAGAUGCUCUUGCUGCAGCACGACAAGUGUUCAAAAGAGAACCAGGCCCAGCCCGGAGAAAGGAAAGCCAAAAGCCAACUGAAUGAAUGACCCUCCCCCAGAAGAGCAACCCUGCCCCCAGGCCAUCCAAGUGCGAACAUUACCAGGUGCCAGCAGGGAAAGGACUCCGCUGCCUGACGCCUCUCCCACCUGAGAGCGCAGAGGUAGGGAGAUCACAGUGCCUGAGAGGUUUUCCUCCACGGAGAAAUCAGAGACCUCAACCUGCUGCCCUCUAAAGCAGCUUUCUGUAUCCAGACAAAACUUACAUAUGUACACGUUGUUUUAAAACGACAUACUCAUGUGACACACAUGUAUAUAAAUUCAUGUUUAUAUAUGACAAUUGAGGAGAGUUAAAGAACAAGAUAAUUCUGGAUGGAAAAAUCAGUUUGCCUGGGCAUCUGUAAACCUUUGGGCAAGUGAAUUCCCUCUUCUCUCUCAGUUCACCCUUUGGUGACCUCCACCGUGGCUGCAGACUUCAGGUGGUCCUCACGCAUUCACAGAACUGUCUGCUUAGGUUACAGCACUUUGGGAGGCCGAGGUGGGUAGAUCACGAGGUCAGGAGAUCGAGACCAUAUUGACCAACAUGGUAAAACCCCAUCUCUACUAAAAUACAAAAAUUAGCCGGGCGUGGUGGCGGGUGCCUGUAGUCCCAGCUACUUGGGAGGCUGAGGCAGGGGAAUCACUUGAACCUGGGAGGCGGAGGUUGCAGUGAACUGAGAUUGCGCCACUGCACUCCAGCCUGGGUGACAGAGAC
rnacentral:lncRNA from 10 species